AGUGAACGCUGGCGGUAGGCCUAACACAUGCAAGUCGAACGGCAGCACAGUAAGAGCUUGCUCUUACGGGUGGCGAGUGGCGGACGGGUGGGGAAUACAUCGGAAUCUACUUUUUCGUGGGGGAUAACGUAGGGAAACUUACGCUAAUACCGCAUACGACCUACGGGUGAAAGCAGGGGAUCUUCGGACCUUGCGCGAUUGAAUGAGCCGAUGUCGGAUUAGCUAGUUGGCGGGGUAAAGGCCCACCAAGGCGACGAUCCGUAGCUGGUCUGAGAGGAUGAUCAGCCACACUGGAACUGAGACACGGUCCAGACUCCUACGGGAGGCAGCAGUGGGGAAUAUUGGACAAUGGGCGCAAGCCUGAUCCAGCCAUACCGCGUGGGUGAAGAAGGCCUUCGGGUUGUAAAGCCCUUUUGUUGGGAAAGAAAAGCAGCAGGUUAAUACCCCGCUGUUCUGACGGUACCCAAAGAAUAAGCACUGGCUAACUUCGUG
rnacentral:rRNA from 1 species